rnacentral:lncRNA from 1 species
AUCAUUUUCAAAUGAGGAAAUUGAAGCACAAGGAAUGAUGCUACAAAGGAUAUCGGCAUGUGUGUGACGUUUUUUUGUCUUCCAUUGAAUUGCUGAGCACAUUCCUGAGAGUGUCAUUACUGGUUCACAGAACAGGAACACAUUACAACCCUUUCUGUGUAAUAUCAGGCUGCCCUGCAAAGGCCCAUACUGAUUGAAGAUGGCACCAACAGGAAAUGA